GUAGGUGAACCUGCGGAAGGAUCAUUAACACGUAUCCACGUAUCAACCCACAGUGUCACGAGUGCGCGUUGUUUACCGCGCGUGCUCAGUUUUCUUUUUUUCCACAAUGAAUUUUAACCAUUUAAACCCAUCAGACUAAAACUAUUUCGUGCUUUUUUGCGCAAGCGAAAAACCCGAAACAAUAAAAUAACAAAAAACAACUCUUAGCGACGGAUUUCUUGGCUCCC
rnacentral:misc_RNA from 1 species